AGUUAAAAAGCCAAAGAACGCCUGUUGUCUUGAAAACAACACGAAAGAAGUUCAAAUCUUCUAUUAACUU
rnacentral:tRNA from 1 species